rnacentral:rRNA from 1 species
CCCUUAGAUGUUCUGGGCCGCACGCGCGCUACACUGACGAAUGCAAUAAGUCACCUUGGCCGGUAGGUCUGGGUAAUCUUUGAACGUUCGUCGUGAUGGGGAUAGAUUAUUGUAAUUUUUAAUCUUCAACGAGGAAUUCCUAGUAAGCGCGAUUCAUCAGAUCGCGUUGAUUACGUCCCUGCCCUUUGUACACACCGCCCGUCGCUCCUACCGAUUGCGUGGUCCGGUGAGGCUUUCGGAUUCCGAUCAGCUGGUAGUUCGCUGCUUGGCUAUUGGGAGAAGUUAUCCAAACCUUACCACGUAGAGGAAGGAGAANUCGUAACA